UUUUUUUUUUUUUUAAGUAGGCUCCACACCCAGCAUAGAGCCUGAUGUAGGGCUUGAACUCAUGAUCCUGAGAUCAUGACCUCAGCUGAAACCAAGAGUCAGACUCUUAACUGACUGAACCAACCAGCUGCCUCUAAACUAUCAAGCUUUCAAAUGCUCAGUAGCCACAUGUGCUUAGUGGCUACUGUAUUGGACAGCAUAGGUAUAGAAAUGUGGUCUGGGAAGGGAGGCCGUGUCAGGAUUUUGCUGGAUUUUGACAAUGGCUUGAUGCUUCUGCUGCUCUGUAGAAGCAGAACAUCUGCAGAAGUAGAGAUCCAUUCUCUCAAAGAGAUAUAUUGUGAGCACUAGCUGGUUCAGUUGGUAGAGCAUGUGACUCUUGAUCUUGGGAUUGUGAGUUCUAGCCCACAUUGGGCAUAGAACCUAUUUUUAAAGAUAAAUAAAUAAAAGAGAUGUACUGGUCACAGGGCAUAAACAUUUUGGGGACUCUCAAUUAUUUUCCUAAUUGAUUGCAUCCUUUUAUGAUACUACUCACCAUGAAUACAAGUACCAAUAUUAUUAGCUCUGGAUUUAGGGAUUCACAUUUUAAUUUUGGGGGGGUUAAUUUAGUAAUGUUAAUUUAGUUAACUUAGAGAAAGAAAUACCAUACUUCUUUUAAUCUGCUUCUAUUUGAUAACUAAUAAAAUUGAAUAUUUUUCACAUAUUUACUAAUAUUUGUUUUUUGUGAGUAUUUUAUUACAAGUCUUUGUUCCAAUAUUAGCUGAGGUCUUUUUUUUUUUUUAAAGAUUUUAUUUAUUCAUGACAGAUACAGAGAGAGAGAGGCAGAGACACAGACAGAGGCAGAAGCUGGCUCCAUGCAGGGAGGCUGAUAUGGGACUCGAUCCCGGGUCUCUAGGAUAUGCCCUGGGCUGAAGGCGGUGCUAAACCGUUGAGCCACCGGGGCUGCCCUAGCUGGGGUCUUAAUAAGAUUUUUAUCAACUUGUGUGAAUUCUUGAGAUAACAAUGUCAUUAAUCUUUUUUGGCAAUUUUUUUUGUAAAUAUAUCUGCUAGUAUGUUAUUUUUCCUGUAUUGUGUUGAUUUUUUUUAACAUACAAAAUUUCUUUUCUGAAAUCUUCAUGUUGUCAAGUACUUCCAUCUUUGCUCUAUAAUAAUACUGUACUCAUGAAGUUUAUUAUCUUGUGGAUGAAAGUUAUGAAGGAAACAUAACACAAAUAAUUUCAGGAAGUUGUACAUGUGAUGAAGAAAAUAAAAUACAUUAAUGUGAUAGAAAGUCAUCAGAAGGACCUUUCCACUAGUGCUGUGAUAAAUAUUUAACCCUAUUUUCUUCUGAAUGUUGUAGUUUUAAGUACACUUAAGUUUUUAAAUUAAAUGGAAUUUAGGGUGCCUGUCUGGCUCAAUUGCCAGAGAAUGUGCUCUUGAUCUCCAGGUUGUAAAUUCGAGUACUACAUUGGGUAUGGAGAUUACUUAAUAAAUAAAUAAAAUAGAAUUCACUUUGAUGUAAAGGGUAGAUCUAAAUUCUUCCCUUCCUCCCAAAUUGCUCAUCAGUUUCCCUUCACUAUUUAUGAAAAAAAAAAAAAAAACUUUGUUUAUCUCAUUGUAUUGUGACAUCUUCUUAAUACACUAAAAUUUCUAUGAAAAUUAGGAUGCAUUGCUGAUAUUUCUAUUAUAUUCCAGGAAUCUGUCUAUUCUUACACCAAGACUUCACUCUCCUAUUUUUGUUGCUUUAUGGGUUUUUAGUUUUGAUAGUAAUUAAUUCUUCCUUCACUUCCUUGCCCCAAUAAAUUUUCUUUCUUGCCUGUUUAGAAUUUUCCUUUCUCUCUUCUUUUUUGCCAUAUGUUUAAAAAACAUCCUUCAAGUUUUUAAAAAUAUAUUUUAUUUAAAUUCAAUUUGCCAACAUAUAGUAUAGCACCCAGUGCUCAUCCCAUUAAGUGCACUUCUUAGUACCCAUCAUCCAAUUACCCCAUCUCUCCACCCACCUCCCCCUCUGCAACUCUUUGUUUGUUUCCCAGAGUUAGGCCUUCUAGUUUUUUUUUAAAAAAAAAAACAAGAUUCUGCUAGAUCUAUAACUGAAGUUGUAGGAAACAGGUAUUUAUGUAAUAUUUUGGCUGCAUAUCCAGGAACAUCUAUUUUUCCAUUCAUUCACAUCUUUUUAGACAACGCAGAAGGUUUUGUAGCUUCCUUUGUAAAGAAAUGUGUGUAUAUAUGUAUGCAUGUUUGCAUACAUAUAUAGUAUCUUAGACUGGGUUUCAUAGAAACAGACUCUGAGAUGGAGAAUUGUCUCAGAAGAUUUCACAGAAAAAAAAAAAAGAAAAAAAGAAAAGAAGAUUUCACAGAAGGCACGCGUAGGUAGCCAGCCUGCAAUGCAGUUGAAACUGGGACCUUAGCUGGUUAGGAGGUAUGAGGGGAGGGGACAAGGGGCCUGAAAGAGACACUUAAACUGGAAUCGGAUAUUGAGGUUUAGCAAGUUACAAAUAAAAUACAAUCUUUGAAUGGAUCAGGAUGCUCAAGUCAGCCUGACCAUCAUAUUGUCUCUCCUUAGAUUGGCCUCGGGGUGGUCAGAUCAUCAGGCAAGGGUUAGUAUUGCCUAAUUGCCUUCAGUAGAUUUAUACCAUCCAUAAUCCUCUCAUAACAAAUAAUGAACUUGUUUCCCCUUGACAAUAUUGGAUAUUAUCAAGUUUUGGGAUCUUUGUCAAUAUGGAAAUGAAAAAUGGCAUUUAAUUUUAGUUUUGAAGUACAUUUCUCUUUAAGAAUGAGGUUGAGUUUUCCAGAUAUUUAAUAGUCAUUUGUGUCUCAUUUUGAAGCUGAAGCUUGUAGCAGAGUAUGAUCUGAACUUUGUAUACAAUUGUUGCCUUGCGGAACCCAGAACAUGCCUUUCAUAUCUUCAUAGCUUUUGUAUCAGUUUAGGUUUAUUUUGACUGCGAGUAAUGAGUAACACGUAACUUAAACCCCUGACUCAACUGACUUUAGCAAUAAGGAAAAUUCUUUUAUCUUACAUGACAUCUUGUCCAGGGAUAAAGUAGUUCUAGAGUCUAGCUAAUUCAGCUACUCACCAAGGCCAUUGAGGUCCCUGGUCUUUCUAACUUUUUGGUUGCUCUGUUCCAACUAGAUUGCUUCCUGCUCACAAGAUGGCUGCAUCACAGACAUCUCAUUGAGACAAUGUAGGAUCCAAUAGACGAAUGGCUGUUUCUUACUGUGAACCUCUUUUUUGAGAACAAGGAAACUUGUCUUGAAAUCCCCUGCUAGAAGGUAUGCUCUGGAAUCUCAUUAGUCAGACUUGGGUGUUAUGCCCAUUCCUAAACUAAUAACUGGUGAGGAGCCUGGGACCAUCAUAUUUGGCUCUUGUUAAUCAGGAUUUUCCCUUGAAUGAUAAUUGAGUAGGAAUGAACACUCCCUUGCCCCCCACCCCCACCGCCCCUUCCCGAAUAAUUAGGACACUGCUGACAGGAAAUGUGGAUUGGUUGUAGGGGGACAAUCAACAAAUUGCCACUACUUUUUUUUUUUUUUAAAGAUUUAAUUUAUUUAUUUGAGAGAGAAAGCCCGCAAGAGCAUGAGCACAAGUACAGGGGAGGGGCAGAGAGAGAGGGAGAAGUAGAGUCCCUGCUGAUCAGAGUGCCUGAUGCAGGGCUCAAUCCCAGGACCCUGGGAUUAUGACCUGAGCUGAAGGCAGAAGCUUAAAUGCCUAGCCACCCAGCCACCCCUGCCACAACUUUCCAUAUAAUAUUCUCUUUGCCUGAUAUAGCCCUCCUCUACUUAUCCUCCCAUCCAGCUAUCAUUCAUCUUUAAAGUAUAGGCUGGGAUGACCCUGAGGAAAUGUGUUUUGUCUCAUCUAGAAAGG
rnacentral:lncRNA from 1 species